UAUAAUGGGUCAGCGACUUAUAUUCUGUAGCAAGGUUAACCGAAUAGGGGAGCCGAAGGGAAACCGAGUCUUAACUGGGCGUUAAGUUGCAGGGUAUAGACCCGAAACCCGGUGAUCUAGCCAUGGGCAGGUUGAAGGUUGGGUAACACUAACUGGAGGACCGAACCGACUAAUGUUGAAAAAUUAGCGGAUGACUUGUGGCUGGGGGUGAAAGGCCAAUCAAACCGGGAGAUAGCUGGUUCUCCCCGAAAGCUAUUUAGGUAGCGCCUCGUGAACUCAUCUCCGGGGGUAGAGCACUGUUUCGGCAAGGGGGUCAUCCCGACUUACCAACCCGAUGCAAACUGCGAAUACCGGAGAAUGUUAUCACGGGAGACACACGGCGGGUGCUAACGUCCGUCGUGAAGAGGGAAACAACCCAGACCGCCAGCUAAGGUCCCAAAGUCAUGGUUAAGUGGGAAACGAUGUGGGAAGGCCCAGACAGCCAGGAUGUUGGCUUAGAAGCAGCCAUCAUUUAAAGAAAGCGUAAUAGCUCACUGGUCGAGUCGGCCUGCGCGGAAGAUGUAACGGGGCUAAACCAUGCACCGAAGCUGCGGCAGCGACGCUUAUGCGUUGUUGGGUAGGGGAGCGUUCUGUAAGCCUGUGAAGGUGUGCUGUGAGGCAUGCUGGAGGUAUCAGAAGUGCGAAUGCUGACAUAAGUAACGAUAAAGCGGGUGAAAAGCCCGCUCGCCGGAAGACCAAGGGUUCCUGUCCAACGUUAAUCGGGGCAGGGUGAGUCGACCCCUAAGGCGAGGCCGAAAGGCGUAGUCGAUGGGAAACAGGUUAAUAUUCCUGUACUUGGUGUUACUGCGAAGGGGGGACGGAGAAGGCUAUGUUGGCCGGGCGACGGUUGUCCCGGUUUAAGCGUGUAGGCUGGUUUUCCAGGCAAAUCCGGAAAAUCAAGGCUGAGGCGUGAUGACGAGGCACUACGGUGCUGAAGCAACAAAUGCCCUGCUUCCAGGAAAAGCCUCUAAGCAUCAGGUAACAUCAAAUCGUACCCCAAACCGACACAGGUGGUCAGGUAGAGAAUACCAAGGCGCUUGAGAGAACUCGGGUGAAGGAACUAGGCAAAAUGGUGCCGUAACUUCGGGAGAAGGCACGCUGAUAUGUAGGUGAAGUCCCUCGCGGAUGGAGCUGAAAUCAGUCGAAGAUACCAGCUGGCUGCAACUGUUUAUUAAAAACACAGCACUGUGCAAACACGAAAGUGGACGUAUACGGUGUGACGCCUGCCCGGUGCCGGAAGGUUAAUUGAUGGGGUCAGCGCAAGCGAAGCUCUUGAUCGAAGCCCCGGUAAACGGCGGCCGUAACUAUAACGGUCCUAAGGUAGCGAAAUUCCUUGUCGGGUAAGUUCCGACCUGCACGAAUGGCGUAAUGAUGGCCAGGCUGUCUCCACCCGAGACUCAGUGAAAUUGAACUCGCUGUGAAGAUGCAGUGUACCCGCGGCAAGACGGAAAGACCCCGUGAACCUUUACUAUAGCUUGACACUGAACAUUGAGCCUUGAUGUGUAGGAUAGGUGGGAGGCUUUGAAGUGUGGACGCCAGUCUGCAUGGAGCCGACCUUGAAAUACCACCCUUUAAUGUUUGAUGUUCUAACGUUGACCCGUAAUCCGGGUUGCGGACAGUGUCUGGUGGGUAGUUUGACUGGGGCGGUCUCCUCCUAAAGAGUAACGGAGGAGCACGAAGGUUGGCUAAUCCUGGUCGGACAUCAGGAGGUUAGUGCAAUGGCAUAAGCCAGCUUGACUGCGAGCGUGACGGCGCGAGCAGGUGCGAAAGCAGGUCAUAGUGAUCCGGUGGUUCUGAAUGGAAGGGCCAUCGCUCAACGGAUAAAAGGUACUCCGGGGAUAACAGGCUGAUACCGCCCAAGAGUUCAUAUCGACGGCGGUGUUUGGCACCUCGAUGUCGGCUCAUCACAUCCUGGGGCUGAAGUAGGUCCCAAGGGUAUGGCUGUUCGCCAUUUAAAGUGGUACGCGAGCUGGGUUUAGAACGUCGUGAGACAGUUCGGUCCCUAUCUGCCGUGGGCGCUGGAGAACUGAGGGGGGCUGCUCCUAGUACGAGAGGACCGGAGUGGACGCAUCACUGGUGUUCGGGUUGUCAUGCCAAUGGCACUGCCCGGUAGCUAAAUGCGGAAGAGAUAAGUGCUGAAAGCAUCUAAGCACGAAACUUGCCCCGAGAUGAGUUCUCCCUGAC
rnacentral:rRNA from 1 species